rnacentral:rRNA from 1 species
ACUCGGUGAAGUAGGUGAACAAGCUGGAAAGCUUGGCGAUACAGGGUGAUAGCCCCGUAACCGACGCUUCAUCGAGCGUGAAAUCGAGUAGGACGGGACACGUGAUAUCCUGUCUGAAUAUGGGGGGACCAUCCUCCAAGGCUAAAUACUCCUGACUGACCGAUAGUGAACCAGUACCGUGAGGGAAAGGCGAAAAGAACCCCUGUGAGGGGAGUGAAAUAGAACCUGAAACCGUGUACGUACAAGCAGUAGGAGCACCUUCGUGGUGUGACUGCGUACCUUUUGUAUAAUGGGUCAGCGACUUAUAUUCAGUGGCAAGGUUAACCGUAUAGGGGAGCCGUAGCGAAAGCGAGUCUUAACUGGGCGCUCAGUCUCUGGAUAUAGACCCGAAACCGGGUGAUCUAGCCAUGGGCAGGUUGAAGGUUGAGUAACAUCAACUGGAGGACCGAACCGACUAAUGUUGAAAAAUUAGCGGAUGACUUGUGGCUAGGGGUGAAAGGCCAAUCAAACUCGGAGAUAGCUGGUUCUCCCCGAAAGCUAUUUAGGUAGCGCCUCGGACGAAUACUACUGGGGGUAGAGCACUGUUAAGGCUAGGGGGUCAUCCCGACUUACCAACCCUUUGCAAACUCCGAAUACCAGUAAGUACUAUCCGGGAGACACACGGCGGGUGCUAACGUCCGUCGUGGAGAGGGAAACAACCCAGACCGCCAGCUAAGGUCCCAAAGUAUUGCUAAGUGGGAAACGAUGUGGGAAGGCUCAGACAGCUAGGAUGUUGGCUUAGAAGCAGCCAUCAUUUAAAGAAAGCGUAAUAGCUCACUAGUCGAGUCGGCCUGCGCGGAAGAUGUAACGGGGCUAAGCAAUACACCGAAGCUGCGGCAAUGUCUUUUAGACAUUGGGUAGGGGAGCGUUCUGUAAGCCGUUGAAGGUGAAUCGUAAGGUUUGCUGGAGGUAUCAGAAGUGCGAAUGCUGACAUGAGUAACGACAAAGGGGGUGAAAAACCUCCUCGCCGGAAGACCAAGGGUUCCUGUCCAACGUUAAUCGGGGCAGGGUGAGUCGACCCCUAAGGUGAGGCCGAAAGGCGUAAUCGAUGGGAAACGGGUUAAUAUUCCCGUACUUCUGACUAUUGCGAUGGGGGGACGGAGAAGGCUAGGUGGGCCAGGCGACGGUUGUCCUGGUUCAAGUGCGUAGGCUUGAGAGUUAGGUAAAUCCGGCUCUCUCUAAGGCUGAGACACGACGUCGAGCUACUACGGUAGUGAAGUCAUUGAUGCCAUGCUUCCAGGAAAAGCCUCUAAGCUUCAGAUAGUCAGGAAUCGUACCCCAAACCGACACAGGUGGUCGGGUAGAGAAUACCAAGGCGCUUGAGAGAACUCGGGUGAAGGAACUAGGCAAAAUGGUACCGUAACUUCGGGAGAAGGUACGCUCUUGAUGGUGAAGUCCCUCGCGGAUGGAGCUGACGAGAGUCGCAGAUACCAGGUGGCUGCAACUGUUUAUUAAAAACACAGCACUGUGCAAAAUCGCAAGAUGACGUAUACGGUGUGACGCCUGCCCGGUGCCGGAAGGUUAAUUGAUGGGGUUAGCGCAAGCGAAGCUCUUGAUCGAAGCCCCGGUAAACGGCGGCCGUAACUAUAACGGUCCUAAGGUAGCGAAAUUCCUUGUCGGGUAAGUUCCGACCUGCACGAAUGGCGUAAUGAUGGCCACGCUGUCUCCACCCGAGACUCAGUGAAAUUGAAAUCGCUGUGAAGAUGCAGUGUACCCGCGGCUAGACGGAAAGACCCCGUGAACCUUUACUACAGCUUGGCACUGAACAUUGAACCUACAUGUGUAGGAUAGGUGGGAGGCUAUGAAGACGUGACGCCAGUUGCGUUGGAGCCGUCCUUGAAAUACCACCCUUGUAUGU